rfam:Pongo abelii chromosome 6.
UAAAAGGCCCUUUUCAGGGCCACCCUACUUCCUCAGCUGAGGAGCCG